rnacentral:snRNA from 1 species
AAAUAAAUCCUGCAAUUGGAA